AAGAAGAAGACACGGUAAUGCUUCUGAGGUAAAUUUACCUCGGGUAUGUCUAGUUGUCUACUACGGAUAGAAAACCAAUUAUACGGAUGGUGGGAGAGUUCUUCCAACCAUCUAUGCCGUGCGCAGCCAGGGCGGUUUCCAUUCUCCGGAGGCCAGCAGGGGCACUCUAACCUACGGGCUACGGCCGUGAGCUAGGUACGGUGGCCGGGUAGAAGUGGAGGGGGUCUUUCCCGUUGACACGGGAUUCAGUUUGACAGAAGCGGCGCCGCCGGGUCUAACCGCAACCUCAUCACUAGGGCGGUGCUCGUCCCCGUCGCAACACUAGGCGCCGGGAUCAGUACUACCCACGCCUCGCCUCCCUCCAUCGGCCUCGUCGUGUAAUCCACUAAUCCUGCUACAGCAAGCUGGUGGAAGAGGUUAGUGACGUCUCUAUAGGAGAGGUGCUGUCGUGUUGGCCUUGUGUCUCCUCUAGUCAUCUCCCAUUCUCGCGUCCCCCUGAUUGAAUCUGGAUCCGGAGAAUUCACCGGCUGGCGACGAGUCGACAUAGUUUAACUGCCAUCGGUCUGAUCUAAGUUUUGUCACUGCCUCCUACCUCAUGCGCCCAUAAGCUCGUGCUCCGCCCUGCCUCUCGCGUACCUGGCUGCCUCCAUCCCCUCUCACGGCAUCCCUACCUAUUUCUAUAGACUGGAAUUUGUUUCUGUCAUAAAUAAUGCAUUAGAAUAUUUUGUGUGUGAUGAGCUUGACAUCUAAACGGGUAUAUGGUAAAUUGUGGUAAGGCAAUUCCAUGUAAAGUGAUCCCUUUAGCCUAUUCAAAUGGGAGCAGAAGGAGACGACCAUGUUAUGUGAAAUUUGAAAAUAUGUUAAGGCCCUAUAAUAUUAGAGCAAUCAAUGCAUAUCUUUCUGAAAAAAAGGAGAAGAGUAUCAGUAGCUCAAUUUUUUGAGGGCACAGUUGACCAUUAGAUCAGUUGUAUUUUUAGUUGUUUGGGAACUGUAAUAUCAUAUCUGAAGGUUAAAGUGACUCUAAAUUAAUACGAUGACCAUGUUCUUGUUGUAUUUCAGUUAUGUGUGCAAAUCAGAUUUUGAGUUCUCCUGGUUUAAUUAAGAACCAGAUCAGUUAUGUAUUCAUCCACUCUCCUCUUUCUUUUCGUGAUCACUGAAAAAGUUUGGUCUAUUUGACGUGAAAAAGAUGGCAGAAUGUGUAACCAUGAUAUUUUCCUAACAUCCAAUUGAUUUGGUUGCAGGAUUCAUUCGGCACCACAUGCAGAUGCAUCAUGAACAAAGGUUCAUUUAUGGAUUUCUAGAAGAUAAAAAAGGAAUAUUUGUGUCUACUGGCCUGCAUUUUGCUUUAAAAUGUGUUUGCUUAUAUCAAAAAUAUUUUGGUCAAGAGAAAAGGUAGAGUUUAUCUCCUCCGUUACGUUGAAUCAAAUUUUAGUACAAAAUCAAUUGAUAUUUAGUUUGCAUCCAAAAUUUUCCUUUAGAUUGACAUAGGGUUGUUGUAAUGCAUGUAACUGGACAUGCGAAGAAACUCUUGUUCAUAUAAUUCCUUGCUUACAUUUUUCUGUCAAUUUUCCAUAUUGAUAGCUCUUGCUUGUUAAUAGAUCAUCGAGUUUCUUUGUGACAAUUGCAGUUUUGCACAUUUCUAAAUGUAUUCUCUUGAUAUGGAAGGCAUGGAGAGAAGAGAUCAAAUUUGCCUUCUCAUUCUCAUGCAACUCCUGAUAUUUGACCUAUCAGCUAUGUGCAUCUGGGCUUUCAUACAUGUUAUUUAGCUUACAGUGAGAUCUGCAUCUUUGUAUUGCAGGUGGUUGUCAAUCUGUAUUUUCUAACAACUUUGGGAAGGGUGCUCUCAGGCAAUGUUGUUCCUUAUGCUGAUAGUUCCAGUAUUCCACCACACUUGUUGAUACUACUUGUGUAGCUAGGCUUACUUCAAAAGUUCAGGUUUGUUGGCGUGUAACACCUUCUGCAUUCUCAUUUUGUUGUCAUUACUGGUUUUAAUUGUUCAUCUUCUGCCUCUACAUAUUUGCACAAAUCCCCAACUUGGUCGAUCAGCUCCCUUCUUGGGUUCCUGUAGAGGAAGAGACUCUCAUCUCCUCUUUAGCUGCAAUGGAAGGGUCAAUCUGGCCUAGGAAGUUGUGGACAUCGUAGGUGUGUCUACCUUAUCAUGGUGCGUGCAUCCAUGAUAGAGACAAGUGAAUCAAGUAAUUAAGUUUGAACUUCUUGAGUGCAUGCAGGUGCAGCAACAUCAAGGACUAUGCCACGAGGAACAGUUGAGCGGUCAUGGAAACACCGGGAUGCUUAUCAUCACCCACGAGGAUGGACACAACCACGUGCAGCUGCUCUACUUGUCGGUCCUCGCCGCAAAUUCUGAAGCCCGACCGAAGCUACGAAUGGCAGAAGACGGUAGAAGAACUCUGAUUUUUUUUGCGGGGGAACUCUGCAUUUUUAUGCCAUGAAGGAACAAGUCAUUUAGCCGCUCCUUGGUUAUUUAGUCUGACAAAAGAUCAGAAUGCAAGUGAAAAUUGUAACACCAAGGCAAAUAUUUUCCCGUUAUAUUUUUCAUGAUGUCUAAUAGAUAGUACAUGAUUGGGGUGCAAUACAUUUACCUUUUGAAAUAUUCUGUGAAUAAAAUUGCUCCAUGCGAUUGUCAAAUUGCCUCGUGUGUCUGUGUGUGUGUGUGUGUGUUUAGCAAAUUGUGAUAGCCUUGUCAAUAGGUGUCUUUGUUGCGUGUAUCUGAGAAUAAUCAUGUUAAUUUCUUGGUCCCUUCUUCCUGUUUGCAUCUUCCUGCAAUAUUUUGACUAACUACCCUAUCACACACAAAAAUAUUGCUGAGCGUGAUGGGCAUAUUAAAUAAGAU
rnacentral:lncRNA from 1 species